rnacentral:tRNA from 1 species
GGUUUCUUGGCGCAGUUGGUUAGCGCGUCUCCUUAACAAUUCUGAUCUCCUUCAGAUCGUUAGGGCUUACGGAGGAGGUCGCCGGUUCGAACCCGGCAGAAAUCA